rnacentral:rRNA from 1 species
CACGGGGUGAGUAUCACGUGUGGUAUUCUGGCCAGCAGCUCGGGAUAACCAUUGGAAACGAUGGCUAAUACCGCGAUAAUCGAACUCACUUUUAUCGGUUAGAUUGAAAGGAGGCUUCUGCUUGCAAACUUUCACUGUUGGAUGAGCCCGCGGCUCAUUAGGUAGUUGGUGGGGUAACAGCCUACCAAGCCUGUGAUGAGUAACCGGCCUGAGAGGGUGAACGGUCACACUGGGAUUGGAACACGGCCCAGACUCCUACGGGAGUCAGCAUUGGGGAAUAUUGCGCAAUGGACGAAAGUCUGACGCAGCGACGCCGCGUGAGGGAUGAAGGCCUUCGGGUCGUAAACCUCUGUCAGGAGGAAAGAAUUGCACGGGUGUUAAUCAGCCCGUGUUGCACGGUACCUCCAGAGGAAGCACCGGCUAACUCCGUGCCAGCAGUCCGCGGUAAUACGGAGGGUGCAAGCGUUAAUCGGAAUCAUUGGGCGUAAAGCGCGCGUAGGCGCUGAUGAAAGUCAGUGGUGAAGCCCUCAGCCUUCACUGGGGAAUUGCCAUUGUCAGUGUCAUUGCUGAGUAUGUGAGAGGAUAUCGGUAUUUUGCUGUAGGAGUGUAUCUGUAGAUAUCAGGAGGAACAUCAGUGGCGAAGGCGACUAUGUGGCACAUUACUGACGCUGAGGUGCGUAAGGCGUCGGGAGCAAAUAGGAAUUCAGAUAUCGUGUAGUCCCACGCCGUUAACGAUGGAUACUAGGUGCUCGGGCUCGCUUCGGUGCCGUAGUUAACGCAUUAAGUAUCCCGCCUGGGGAGUACGUUCGCAAGGCUGAAACUCAAAGAAUGACGGGGCCCGCACAG